GGGCGAAUGGCUCAGUUGGUCAGAGCGCCGGUCUCACAUACCGGAGAUCACAGGUUCAACUCCUGUUUCGCCCACCA
rnacentral:tRNA from 1 species